rnacentral:rRNA from 1 species
UACGGGGGGAGCAAGCGUUGUUCGGAUUUACUGGGCGUAAAGGGCUCGUAGGUGGCCAACUAAGUCAGACGUGAAAUCCCUCGGCUUAACCGGGGAACUGCGUCUGAUACUGGAUGGCUUGAGUUCGGGAGAGGGAUGCGGAAUUCCAGGUGUAGCGGUGAAAUGCGUAGAUAUCUGGAGGAACACCGGUGGCGAAGGCGGCAUCCUGGACCGAUACUGACGCUGAGGAGCGAAAGCGUGGGGAGCGAACAGG